rnacentral:rRNA from 1 species
AUGGCGGCACCGCGCCCGCAUCCGCUGCUGCUCCUGCUCCUCGUCGCGCUGCUGGCCGCCUCCGCCGACGCCUGGGGCAAGGAGGGCCACAUCAUGGUCUGCAAGAUCGCUGAGAGGUACCUGACGGAGGAGGCGGCGGCGGCGGUGCAGGACCUGCUGCCGGAGUCGGCCGGCGGGGAGCUGUCGACGAUGUGCCCCUGGGCGGACACCAUGCGCUUCCGCUACCACUGGGCCAGCCCGCUCCACUACGCCAACACCCCCAACAUCUGCAGCUUCAACUUCUCCCGGGAUUGCCACAACUCUCGCGGGGAGCAGGGGAUGUGCGUCGUCGGGGCCAUCAACAACUACACGGACCAGCUCUACACCUACGGGGACUCCCCCAAGAGUUCGUCGUACAACCUGACGGAGAGCCUGAUGUUCCUGGCGCAUUUCGUGGGCGACGUCCACCAGCCGCUGCACGUGGGCUACGAGGAGGACGAGGGCGGCAACACCAUCACGGUGCACUGGUACCGCAGGAAGGCCAACCUCCACCACGUGUGGGAUGUUAGCAUCAUCGACACGGUGAUGAAGGACUUCUACAACAAGAGCCUCGACACCAUGGUGGCCGCCCUCCAGAUGAACCUCACCGAGGGAUGGUCUGACGAUGUCGCUCACUGGGAGAAUUGCGCCAACAAGAAGGCGACCUGCGCAAACGACUACGCGAUCGAGAGCAUAAGUCUGUCGUGCAACUACGCCUACAAAGAUGUGGUGCAGAACAUCACCCUAGGAGAUGAUUAUUACUUCACCCGCUACCCGGUUGUGGAGAAGAGAUUGGCGCAGGCCGGCGUCAGACUGGCGCUGAUACUCAACCGUAUAUUUGACAAGAAAGAAGCUGAUACUAUGCCGUUAUACGUGCAGUAG